CGCGUGCGAACAAGCUGAUACAACAGUUAGUUGUUGCAGCUGGGAAAAAGAUGAAACAAAAUCAUGUAUAAAGGUCCUCUUUUCGCCCUCGAGACCUCAAUUUCUGUUUUCCGUCGCAUUCGAUUCCGUCAACGAAAAAUGAAGGCAUGCACUGUCGUUCUUGUUGGUAUUCUGGCCCUUGUCACGAUGGUCCACUGCUUCAAUGACGAAGAGAAAGAGAAGGCUAUCGGCGAAGCAGAAUUAUUUCUUCGGAGCCGUCGCUCCCCUGCAGAUGAUAGCGACGAUACGCCAGGAGCCAAAGGAAGGUCGAUAGCAGAAGAAAAAUCGAAAGGAAAGGGAAAAGGGAAGGGGAAAGGGAAAGGAAAGGGGAAAGAAACAACUAAAUAGAUGUUUGAGUAAUCCGUGCGGUGUGUGAGACCUUGUCUAUGAUCCGACAUCCAUGAACAUAGCAGACGACCAAUAAAGUAUAUCCCACUUGU